rnacentral:rRNA from 1 species
AUUGAACGCUGGCGGCAGGCUUAACACAUGCAAGUCGAGCGAGCGGCGGACGGGUGAGUAAUGUCUGGGAAACUGCCUGAUGGAGGGGGAUAACUACUGGAAACGGUAGCUAAUACAGCAUACCAUCAGAUGUGCCCAGAGGUGAUUAGCUAUUAGGUGGGGUAAUGGCUCACCUAGGCGACGAUCCCUAUCUGGUCUGAGAGGAUGACCUGCGCCCCUGGAACUGUUACACGGUCCCGACUCCUACGUGAGGCAGCAGUUGGGAAUAUUUCACAGUGGGCGCAAGCCUGAUGCAGCCAUGCCGCGUGUGUGAAGAAGGCCUUCGGCUUGGACAGCACUUUCAGCGAGGAUGCGUUACUCGCAGAAGAUGCCCCGGCUAACUCCGUGCCAGCAGCCGCGGUAAUUC